UGUCUGGAAAAACGCCCCGCCCCUCAGGGUCCUCCUAUUAUUGCCUGAGUUCAGUUUAAGUUUUAAAGAGGCGUCUUUACAGUAACUACGAGCAUUAGAGGAAAAUUAGCUCAUUCAUCGACACAAACAGGAUGGAGACUUUGCAGGCCGUGGGUUCAUCUGCAGACCUUCACCCACAUGCAGCAUUUCCACAGCACCUUUUGCAUCUCAUAUCUCCAAUAAUAGACACCGUACCACAUCUGACCAAAGAUCACAUACAUCUCCUUCUGAGCGGAGCAGAAUAAGUGGCAGCUCGUCAACCUUCAUGGCAGCCGAGCAGAAACUGAGAUCUGAUGUUUUGUUCAACCUCUCAGCAACAAGCAGCUGCUGUUUUAAUACAGCUGUAGGUGUUUUUAUCCUGAUAUUCCACCUCCAGAGGUAGAGAGAGACUGAUGCUGAGAUCAGACACACUGAUGCUGGACAAUAAACUGUUUCCUUUGUACCAGGAGAGAGUC